AUGAACGCUGGCGGCGUGCCUAAUACAUGCCAGUCGCGCGAACAGACGAGGAGCUUGCUCCUCUGACGUUAGCGGCGGACGGGUGAGUAACACGUGGAUAACCUACCUAUAAGACUGGGAUAACUUCGGGAAACCGGAGCUAAUACCGGAUAAUAUAUUGAACCGCAUGGUUCCAUAGUGAAAGACGGUUUUGCUGUCACUUAUAGAUGGAUCCGCGCCGCAUUAGCUAGUUGGUAAGGUAACGGCUUACCAAGGCGACGAUGCGUAGCCGACCUGAGAGGGUGAUCGGCCACACUGGAACUGAGACACGGUCCAGACUCCUACGGGAGGCAGCAGUAGGGAAUCUUCCGCAAAGGGCGAAAGCCUGACGGAGCAACGCCGCGUGAGUGAUGAAGGUCUUCGGAUCGUAAAACUCUGUUAUUAGGGAAGAACAAAUGUGUAAGUAACUAUGCACGUCUUGACGGUACCUAAUCAGAAAGCCACGGCUAACUACGUG
rnacentral:rRNA from 1 species